UAUAGCCUACACCUGUAAGGAAGCACGUAAGAGAAGUCUACUGGCUGCUUUUUGGAAAGGAAGGUCUGCUUGGAAAUGCUCUUCUGAUUCUAUGCAGAUUGAAGAGCUUGAGGACAAAAAAAAAAAAAAAAGUAUGUUAAGUUGUGCUGUAACACUCAGAAGAAAGCAGUGAGGAUAAGACAUAGCUACAAGACGUUCCUGCCUAACAAACUGCAGGCUUCCCACGCAACCACAUGGCCUCAGCAGUGGAUUUAUAGAACCUCCACCAACUUGACAAAUAUGACAUUGAUCUUCCUUGUCUGAAUCUUCUGCCAGAAGGUGAUUAAGACAUAACAGAAGAAAUUGAUAACUGCUCUUGGCGAAGUCCACAGCUGAAUAAUGGACAACAUCUUUGCACAAAUAUUCUAGGAUUUGGAGAGAUUUUACUAAGGACUUCCAUCACGUGAUGGUAACCUGAAAGUAUAAUAUCCAACAGUUCAGAGUUAAUGUGUACCUUAAGCUGAUAACUGUGCAAGGGAAAAACCUUAGUCUCUAAAUCCCUUUUUUGUUUUUGUGUAAUCCCAAUCUGAUGUGCUGCUGGGAAUUAUACAGUCACUGUCCUUUAGGAAGAAUUAGCAUGUCUGAAUGCUGCCUAUGAAGCAUGUUAGGAUGUAGGCUUCUGUUGAAUGUUCUUUUCUCUCACCUGCGUUGGCACUGCAUGCAUUUUAAAUGUUUGUCUAAAGUGACUUGCUUUCUAGAAACCUUUCUAGAUUUGCGGUGUACGUGGAAAAUUCAUUUCUUGGUUAACUGGAAUGAAUUUUAUCUAAACAGGAAAGAAGUAAUGUUACGUAACAAAACAUUUGAAUGCUUUUCUAUUUAUGACUGAUGGAUGAAAACACGUUAAGUAUUUACUGAUUAACAACUAGUGCUCUUUGCGUGCCAUCUGAUGAGCAGAUUGGGUUCCUGUUUAAUAAAUAGAAUGCUAAACAAGAAAAACAUUGAGACUUGGAUUGAACUCUAGAUUAGCUAAUACUGUAAAAAUAAUCUGAAAAUGAAAA